CACAACCGCUAAGAAAGGAAAGCUUCCACAAGGUGAUAUUGUACCAUCACUCUUCAAGCAAGGUAACAUCUUAAGGUACUUGACUAUCACUUUUAUAAGCUUCUCCUUGGUUCUAGCGUUCAUAUAAAUAAAAGAGACAAACAUGUAUGAUUUACAAAUCUAGAUUAACCAACCCAACUGAUUCAACAUGUUUACUUCUUUAAUCCUUGUUCUUAGUACUACCUCCAUGAUCCCACACUCCUAAUCAUAUGAGCUAAAAUGUUACACAUUCAAUCAUUGAGAGAUAUAAAGAAAAAGACAUAUACAUAGAUAGAUUAUCUUUCCAUAAGGUUGAGCGAUCUGAUCUGACAAAUGUUAUAAGUGCUACACUCAUGAACUUUUCAUCCAUCAACUUUGUCUUGCUCACUAUGCUUAGGGUUAGAGAAGAACAAAUACACUUUAGGUUCUGUUGGUGUUUUCCACCAACAGGACCCAUGCACUUGAUCUCUGCCUUGUCUCUAUGAGCAGGUACACUUUGAGCAAAACACGGAGGAGUUUUAUAACUAUCAGACUCUACCUAGUGAAGGACCUGGAUCUACGAGCACAAACACACUGAGCAGGAUACUGCCAACGCCACUGCUGGGCAAACGAAGAGGUGCAGACUCCAAGGUCCGCACCUGAAUCAAAUGACGCACCUGAAGAAUGAACACGGUGAGAAGUCUUGUUAAGAAGACUUAAAACGCACCUGAAUCAGUAGUUAUCCAUAUUUAUCCUUUCUGCAUUCCCCUUUCUCUUUAAUUAUUUACUUUCCUUAAAUAGAUUAUUAGUUAAUCAUGCUAUCUUCAAAAGAAAAUUAAAAUGUUAAAAAAUACUAAGCCCCAUGUGAGUAUACGAGUGGCAUAAAACCCAUAAGUACCUUCACUGUGGUGGCAUAAAAAUAAAAUAAAUAUUUCUUUUCUGCUUUAUAAAAUAAAAAUAUAAAAAAACAGGGAGUAAUAUUUAUUGAGGAAGCUCAACAUGAUGAAGGCUAGAUAUUUAUGCUAACACUUAAUUAGUUCCACAAGCUUUGUUGUCUAUUUGAGCUCCACAGAAUUUAAGAAUCAAGAAGACUAGCAGACGGAGGACAUUCUAAUCGCUGUCAGAAUGCUGCUGACUUUCAAAUACACCUCUACCACCUGCUAGCCACAUCAAGAGAAAUUACGUCAAAAUUCAGCUUGGGGGAGAGCACCCCCAUUUAUCUCGCUAAGUAUUUCUACCUAUCUUUAUACUUAUAUUAUAUUAGAAUAUUAAAAUACAUAAACUAUGAAAAACCAAAUAAAGAUUUUGUGCUUAUAUAUAUAUGUUUUGCUUAGUGUGUUUUAAUAAAUAAAGUGGCUAUGCUAAUCUGAAUCUUAAUAAUAAAACUCUAGCAUGGAUAUGAUGAAUAAUUGCUCUACCUAAUUUGCAAAUUUGAAGUUCUUUCUCAAGUUUAGACAUAACUGUUAUAAUUUAAAGCUUGCUCUAGAUCUAAACUUGUGCGAUGAAAACUUGAUCUGAAAUCUAAGUUGUUAACGGAUAUGAUAUGGGAAGGUUGAGCUGCUGUUUAUCUGUUCCUUGAGAUGCUAGAAUUCUGGAGAAUUUUAUCUUUGAAAAAUCUUUAAAAUAUUGCAUGAUGAGUUCCUGUAUGAUGAGAGUUUAAAUUCCUACCACAGCCAUAUAUAUACAUGCUUGCUAGACUUUGAGCCACACAUUUACUAUUUACUGCUUAUGAGCAUUGAGUGUGGUCAAGCUGUGUAGACCCUUAGGAGCUUGUCAUGUGGUUAAAUCAAGAUUUCACUUGCACAUUCACUCAUAUAUGCUACUUCUACUCCAGAAGUACCAUCCACAUAUAUCCACUCAUUUCCAUCUCCAGAACCACCCAAAAAUAUUCUACUCCUAAUCCGGGAGAGAAUAACCAAAAAUAUUUCUGUUUUUCCUUGUGAAAUAAAUGCUCAAGUUAUCUUGCUACUACCACUUGCUAUAUUAUCUCAAGAGAUGAGUGCUCUGAAAAAAAAAGAAAAGAGAAGAAAAGAAGAAAAAAAUACGAGAAAAUAAAAAGGGGCAAGUGCCUGGAACCUCGAAAGAAAGAAAAAGUGAGACGAGAGGUAAAAAUGGACAAGUGUCCGACAGUAGAAUUAGGGGUACAAGAUACCCACUUGAGAGGAAAGAAAAAGAAGAGCAUCUCAUUCUCCUCAUAAAGUUUCAAAAAGCAAGGAAGGUAUGUAUCCCCUCAAAAGAGCAAAAGGAGAAUUAGACUUUCACCAUUGUUAUCACCAUCAUCACCAUACACCAUUCAUUCGCCACACAUGCACAUCUUGAUUUGGCUUAUUGAUUUGUUUCUUUGGAUCCAUGGUUUGACUAUACAAUAAAUGUCUUGUAAGUAUGUAUACUUUAUCUCCCACCUAUGAGCUCCAGAUAUUAAAGCCUUAUUAGAGUAGGGUGAGAGAGAAGGCAUGUACCAUCACUACCUUGGUAAGGAUCCAGAAAUACCACAAAAGAGAGAUUUAGAGAGUCAUACAAGGAAUCUCUGAGUUUUAUUUGAAAAUCUACAAAAACUCCAGAGCUAUAGCUGAUCAAGAAUAAGAGACAUGGCACUUGGCUAGACUGUUCUAUCUUUUAACUACUCAAGACAGAAGUGACGGUUAUAAGUCCCAUGGUGAAAGGUAAAGUAAGUAUGUUUUAGUUCUUGACAGUUUAAUCUAACUCAGAGAUGAGAUCUUAUUUAAAAGCAUGUGUACCGUCAAAUUUUUAAGAUAUUGCAACAACUUCUGAUCCAUUGCUGAGUCUAUCCUUGCUCAGGGACGAGCAAGAGGUAAGCUUGGGGGGUUUGUUGACGGUCCUUAAGUAUCAAAUUUAAUUAUCAAAUAAACAAAGAAAAGGAUCCAAAUGAAAUCAACAUCUAGACAUAGGGUUUUAUCUGACAGAAUUUCACGAGUUUUGGUGUUUGUCUAUUUCUGCAGGGGGUUAUCAGGAAAUACGGAAGAAAGGCCCACACGUCGGGAUUACAUAGAGAUAUUAACGUGCCGUGCAAUUAUCUUACAUCUAGAAGACUCCAGAAGCCACGGGAAGGAAGCGGAGGCCGAACGGGGCCAGAGGCAGGGCGCCCGCCCUCCUGCCCUGGGCGCCCGCCCUGACUUGGAGCCCAAUCAGGACUCUUUCUCUCGGGAGAUCUCCACCGACCUAAAGGAUCAAGAAUAACUAUUCAAUCAAUGUCGGUUUGAUCCGACGGCCUAGGUUCACUUGAGGGGACUAUAUAACCAGACCCCCUGGCCCUGGAGGAGGCACCCCUUGAUUAUUAUUCAUUAUUCAUAGACAGAGCAAAAGCUAGGGUUUAGAGAUGAGAGCUCUCCUCUCUUCUCUAAACUAGAGUAGAUCUAGAUAGUAGC
rnacentral:lncRNA from 1 species